AUUCUAGCUACGAUUUCAGAUGUCCUGAGAUCUCCGAAGCCAACCAAUUUUUGCACAAGUCGUGGUCCAGCAUCUAGUCCUCUGGCCUCCUACAACAUCCAAAAGAAACCAUGAAAUAUGCAUGUUGUCAUUUUAUGCCCGUGCAAACCCUAGCACCGCCACUCAAGAGUCGUCGAGCACAGUGAUGGACUAUUCACCUACCCAUGACAAUGGCCAUUUAGUCCAGUGUGCCCGCCACAGUUUUCCUUUUGAAAGAGGUGCUGCUAGGGACGAGUGUAACGCCUUUGUGGUUCCAACUCUAUUUAGUGCCGGAUGUGUGCAAAAAUGUUUGGAUCGCUACCAUCAGGUGUGCAAGGAAUGGCUCCUAAUAAUGCACAAGGCCUAACCUACUAUUACAUUUGAUUUGUUGUGCUGGAACUGGCCAUAUAUGUUCUUUUCAUGAGAUGAGGUACAUAAAACUGCUUCCGAAAUAUAAAGAUGCUGAUCUAAAUGAUGUAUUUUCUCUAAAAGAAAGACGGGUAUCCUCAAUCACAGAUCUAUGACAAUGUAUCCUAUAACAUUCAAUAGACCUCUGCAACUUGAUUUCUACAUCAAAUUCUACUCAACCUGCCAAAGGUAACCUUGAAAUUUACAACAACAAAGCGACAUUUCCAGAUACAAAUCAAGUCAUCGUGGAAGAAUCAUUACUUCUAACUAUCAAAGUAUAGAGCAGACUACUAGCCACAAGUUGUAAACUUACAAUAUUGUGAUGCCGCAUUACAAGAAAAAAAUUUCUUGCACCUAAAACAUAAACUUGAGAUUCAGGCAAUUGCAUAUGAAGUUAGUAUGUCAAGAGUAAGAUGAUACUGAACUUGUAUAGACCACUACAAACAAAUCUACAAAUCUUAGCCAAUGCAAACACAUAAAAUUCAUAUGGAUCAACUUAGACUCAAUGAACUUGGAUUACAGACUACCUCUUGUGUAGCACUAAAGUAUCCUGAAUCUGCCAGCACAAAACUAAAAACAAGUCAUUGAAACCUAGAUGGAGUAGCAGCACUUAGCAAUGUACACUCUGCUAUCGAAGCAGACCAACUGCAUCUAAUUAUCACCCAGUCUGCCAAUAUUAUACAAAUUCUGACAAGAUUAAUGAGGCCAUGUAGACACUCAGCAACUAACUAUCGUAACACUGCAGACUAUAUUAGCAGGAUGGUUGAAGGCCUUGAGAAAAUUCCACUAUACAACCAAAGUCGAUUCAAAUCCAAGUCUGAAAGCUUCCAAUCACCAUGAAGAAAAUCACCAUCUACUCUAUUUUUCUGAGAUCUG